rnacentral:rRNA from 1 species
GACGAACGCUGGCGGCGUGCUUAACACAUGCAAGUCGAACGGAAAGGCCCUGCUUUUGUGGGGUGCUCGAGUGGCGAACGGGUGAGUAACACGUGAGUAACCUGCCCUUGACUUUGGGAUAACUUCAGGAAACUGGGGCUAAUACCGGAUAGGAGCUCCUGCUGCAUGGUGGGGGUUGGAAAGUUUCGGCGGUUGGGGAUGGACUCGCGGCUUAUCAGCUUGUUGGUGGGGUAGUGGCUUACCAAGGCUUUGACGGGUAGCCGGCCUGAGAGGGUGACCGGCCACAUUGGGACUGAGGUACGGCCCAGACUCCUACGGGAGGCAGCAGUGGGGAAUAUUGCACAAUGGGCGGAAGCCUGAUGCAGCAACGCCGCGUGCGGGAUGACGGCCUUCGGGAUGUAAACCGAUUUCGCCUGUGACGAAGCGUGAGUGACGGUAAUGGGUAAAGAAGCACCGGCUAACUACGUG